rnacentral:lncRNA from 1 species
GUGAUUCAUCUACCUGCUGUCUAGGUUUCAAGACACACAAGUUGGACUAGAAUUGUAACUGAGCAGAUAUUCCUAUUUCUGAUUGUCAUCCUAGAAUGCCUGCUGUGACUCUGACAUCAUCAAUUAGCUCAAUACAUGGGCACAGUCGGACCUGCCCCAAAGCCUGUGAUUUGAGAAAACACAAGAAAACCUUCCCCUAGCCUCCAAACCACUUAGGUGUGGGUACCUGAAAUUUCUCAGUUAGAACUUAAUGCCUUUAUCCCUUUGGCUUAAGCCAAAUAAGAAACUUAGUCCUUGUUAAAAUGAAAAUACUCUUGGGAGAUGUAACACAUCAAACUCUGUCAUUCAUUAGACUUCAGGGGGAAUGAAUUUGUUAAAUCCUUUUCUAAAAUGAAGUUUAAUUAGUGAAGACACAGAAAAAUCUAGAAAAUUGGAACCCAGUUGGGAUGGUGUUGAGAAAAGAGAUAAAAAUAAAUCUUUUUUUAACUUUUUAAUAAUAGUCAUUCUGACUGGUGUGAGAUGAUAUCUCAUUGUGGUUUUUAUUUGCAUUUCUCUAAUCAGUGAUAUUGAGCUUUUUUUCAUAUGCUUGUUGGCCACAUAUAUGUUUUCUUUUAAAAAAUGUCUGUUCAUGUCCUUUGUGCACUUUUUAAUGGGGUUGUUUGUGUUUUUUUCUUAUAAAUGUGUUUAAAUUCCUUAUAGAUCCUGGGAUAUUAGACCUUUGUUAGAUGCAUAGUUUGCAAAUAUUUUCUCCCAUUCUGUAGGUUGUCUGUUUACUCUGUACAAUAAACACCGAUGACAUGAGUUUUACCUAUAUAACAAACCUGCGCAUGUCUCCCUGAA